rnacentral:rRNA from 1 species
GAUGAACGCUGGCGGCGUGCCUAAUACAUGCAAGUCGAGCGAACAGAUGAGGAGCUUGCUCCUCUGACGUUAGCGGCGGACGGGUGAGUAACACGUGGAUAACCUACCUAUAAGACUGGGAUAACUUCGGGAAACCGGAUCUAAUACCGGAUCAUAUAUUGAACCGCAUGGUUCAAUAGUGAUAGACGGUUUUGCUGUCACUUAUAGAUGGAUCCGCGCCGCAUUAGCUAGUUGGUAAGGUAACGGCUUACCAAGGCGACGAUGCGUAGCCGACCUGAGAGGGGGAUAGGCCCAAAUGGAAGUGGGAAACGGGCCAGGCUCCUAAGGGAGGCAGCAGGGGGGAAAUUUUGCCAAAGGGGGGAAGCCUUGCAGAGCCAGCGCGCGGGGGGGAAUGAGGCCUUCGGGUUGGAAAAACUUUUUUUUGGGGAAAAAAAAAAGGAGGAAAAAACUAUGCCGUUCUGACGGUAACCAAAGAAGAAGCCCCGGCUAAAUUCGUG